rnacentral:rRNA from 1 species
ACGAACGCUGGCGGCGUGCUUCACCCCUGCAAGUCGAACGGAAAGGCCCUGCUUUUGUGGGGUGCUCGAGUGGCGAACGGGUGAGUAACACGUGAGUAACCUGCCCUUGACUUUGGGAUAACUUCAGGAAACUGGGGCUAAUACCGGAUAGGAGCUCCUGCUGCAUGGUGGGGGUUGGAAAGUUUCGGCGGUUGGGGAUGGACUCGCGGCUUAUCAGCUUGUUGGUGGGGUAGUGGCUUACCAAGGCUUUGACGGGUAGCCGGCCUGAGAGGGUGACCGGCCACAUUGGGACUGAGAUACGGCCCAGACUCCUACGGGAGGCAGCAGUGGGGAAUAUUGCACAAUGGGCGGAAGCCUGAUGCAGCAACGCCGCGUGCGGGAUGACGGCCUUCGGGUUGUAAACCGCUUUCGCCUGUGACGAAGCGUGAGUGACGGUAAUGGGUAAAGAAGCACCGGCUAACUACGUG